GCUCAGAAGGAGAGAACAAAGAGAAGUUUUCACAAAGAUUUUACAAGCUUUAAAAUUUAGAAAGUCUCUUUAUGUCACAACAAUCACAUAAAAAUCCUUGGGAGUAUGAGAAAAGUAGAAGAAUAUUUUCUAGAAUAGAACAGCAAAACUAGAGUCAGUUUCACAACCACAGUUUGUGUAACAUCUCAGUUCUCCAGAGCCUGUGUUUUACAAUUUAAACAGAAUAGAGCAAAACAUCACCACUGGAACAGAGAAGUGGGAUAGUAGCAGGGAGAGUCUAAGAACAACAGCACUCUGCAUCAGAGCCCAAGCUGAUGGCCACAGGUGGCCAUCUUGGAGUUACAGCCUCAGCCGAG
rnacentral:lncRNA from 1 species